GCAUAUCAAUAAGCGGAGGAAAAGAAACCAACAGGGAUUGCCUUAGUAACGGCGAGUGAAGCGGCAAAAGCUCAAAUUUGAAAUCUAGCACUUUCAGUGUUCGAGUUGUAAUUUGAAGAAGGUAACUUUGGAAUUGGCUCUUGUCUAUGUUCCUUGGAACAGGACGUCACAGAGGGUGAGAAUCCCGUGCGAUGAGAUGUCCAAUUCUAUGUAAAGUGCUUUCGAAGAGUCGAGUUGUUUGGGAAUGCAGCUCUAAGUGGGUGGUAAAUUCCAUCUAAAGCUAAAUAUUGGCGAGAGACCGAUAGCGAACAAGUACAGUGAUGGAAAGAUGAAAAGAACUUUGAAAAGAGAGUGAAAAAGUACGUGAAAUUGUUGAAAGGGAAGGGCUUGAGAUCAGACUUGGUAUUUUGUGUUCCUUAUUCUUUUUGGAUUUGGUUCCUCACAGCUUACCGGGCCAGCAUCGGUUUGGAUGGUAGGAUAAUGACAUUGGAAUGUAGCUUUGCUUCGGUGAAGUGUUAUAGACUUUGUUGAUACUGCCUAUCUAGACCGAGGACUGCGUCUUGACUAG
rnacentral:rRNA from 1 species